ensembl:snRNA U6 U6 spliceosomal RNA
GUGCUUGUUUUGGCAGCACAUAUACUAAAAUUGGAACAAUACACAAGGAGAUUAGCAUUGCCCUGCACAAGGAUGACAUGCAAAUUCAUGAAGUAUUCCUUAUUUAU